rnacentral:rRNA from 1 species
AGUGAACGCUGGCGGUAGGCCUAACACAUGCAAGUCGAACGGCAGCACAGUAAGCGCUUGCUCUUACGGGUGGCGAGUGGCGGACGGGUGAGGAAUACAUCGGAAUCUACUUUUUCGUGGGGGAUAACGUAGGGAAACUUCGCCUAUUCCCGAAUAUUCUCAACGGUAUAAGCCAAGGGUGCUUGGCCCUUUUGCGGUUUGAUGUACCGAUGUCCGAUUAGCUAGUUUGCGGGGUAAAGGUCCACCAAGGCGACGAUCCGUAGCUGGUCUGAGAGGAUGAUCGGCCACACUGGAACUGAGACACGGUCCAGACUCCUACGGGAGGCAGCAGUGGGGAAUAUUGGACAAUGGGCGAAAGCCUGAUCCAGCCAUACCGCGUGGGUGAAGAAGGCCUUCGGGUUGUAAAGCCCUUUUGUUGGGAAAGAAAAGCAGCAGGUUAAUACCCCGCUGUUCUGACGGUACCCAAAGAAUAAGCACCGGCUAACUUCGUG